rnacentral:lncRNA from 1 species
GGCCGGCCGCGGAGGGGGAGGAGCGGGAGCUGAGCGAGGCGGGCGGGCGGGGGAUGGGGCCGUGCCCGGGCUCCCGCUGCAGCCGCCCGGGGACACGCCGUGCACCCUCCGGCUCGGGGCUCUCGCGGCGGCAUCUGUGGCAGCGUUAGCGGCGGCGGCGAGAGCGGCGUUCCCGGCGCUUCCUGGCCGCGCUUCUCCCUUCAGGCUGGUCGAAGAGAAGAGGCAGCGGCGGCGGCGGCGGCACACCGGCGUCUCUCCCGCUGGAGAUUUCUUUCUGCUUUCCUCGUCGACUGACUGACUGGCCCCCUCCCUUUUUUUGAGGAAGGGUGACCUCUUCUUUGGGACUGGAAAAAAUAUUUUUUUGAGGUGGGGGGAGGUGGGUGGCAGCGUCAGGGGCUGCUGCUUCUCUUCUUUUCAUCUCCCUUUCCUUCCCCCUCCGAGCCCGAAAAGCAAACCCCACAACUGCUCCAGCAUCUUCAUUCCCUUCCUCCACCGCUUCCAGUUUCGCCCUCUCCCCUCCUAAUUAUUUCAUUAUUAUGCUCCCCUCUCUGGGGGGUCUCGUCCCUCUCAGGUCGCUCGGAAGCCUUGGCCUCCCCUGGAUGCAUUUCUUAAAAAUUUUGGAGCCAGGGAGUGAGUUUUCUCUGAGGCGUGUGUGAGAGGCGGCGGGGGUGUUUUCCUGUGCGAGGGGCGGGUGAAGUUCAUUGCCCCCACUUUUCCCGCGACCUUUUUCGGGCCGGAUUUGGAGUCGCGGGGGGCGGGCAGGCGUUUUCGGGGGCCGGGGGGCGCGGCGGAGAAUGGCUGCGGGGAGGGCUCCCCGGAGCCUCCCAGUCUCUUGAUCAAAGCAUUCCGCUAUUCUGAUUUAUUGCCUGCUUGGUGAGUUAUUUUUUUUUUUCCCCCUCUAAAGGAGACCUGUGUGUUCAGCCAUUACUUUGCUCGGCGCUGCUCACAGGAAUCUCCGACCCUCGGUGCUGUGGGCAGCCCCGCACUUGGGCUCCUCGCCUCUCGCCCUCGCUCCCGUCCCUCCUCCCUCUCUCCGCCCCUUCCCCCUUUUCUUUCUCCUCUCUUUCUUCCCCACUCUCCCUUCUUUCGGCCGCCGUCUCCCCCGCGCCCUCCUCGGGGCGGAGGGAAGCCGAGAAGGGGGAGGGAGGGGUUGGUGUCAAUUUUUUUGUGCGGCCGCGGCCGGAGCCUGUGGCGGGCAGGCGGCGAGCGGGGAGACCCCGGCGCGGCAGAGCCAUGGAUGGCCCGACGCGGGGCCAUGGACUCCGCAAAAAGCGGCGGUCGCGGUCACAGCGAGACCGGGAGAGGCGCUCCCGGGGCGGGCUGGGGGCCGGCGCGGCCGGCGGCGGCGGGGCCGGCCGGACCCGGGCGCCCUCGCUCGCUUCGUCGUCGGGCUCCGACAAGGAAGACAAUGGGAAGCCCCCGUCCUCCGCCCCGUCCCGGCCCAGACCCCCGCGGAGGAAGCGGCGAGAGUCCACCUCGGCCGAAGAGGACAUCAUUGAUGGAUUUGCCAUGACCAGCUUUGUCACUUUUGAAGCGCUGGAGCUUUUUGCUCUGCUACCUUCAUGAGGGAAACUGACUUCUCAGAACACCUUGGCUGAUACAUUGGACUUAAAUUGGUAAGUCUUCUAGUCCAGCUGCUUUUUAAGCAUAAAGAGAGUAGAGAACUUUUUCUUUUGGCCUGAAUGAAAGGUGGUUAAGAGAGAAAUCUAAUACCUUUUAUGGAUUUAUAUGGCUCAUGUGAGAUUGCCCAAUCAGAAAUAACAAGAUACACACCAGAUGUGAAGGUACCAGCUAAUAUAAUUAUGCUGGGGAUCAUUUUCACCAUAUGAGGGUUGAGGUACAUUGAACUCAUUUCCAUUAAGUACCUAUAUCUGCUUUUACUAAAAGGGUUGAGUGGUGUGUACCUUUUGUAUUCCUGGAGCUUGAUAAGCUAAAAGUCCUAGAGUAUUCAGAUUCAUGGCAAGGCUUAGAUGGACGGGGAUGUUUAUUCUGCUACUACUAAGUCACUUCAGUCGUGUCCGACUCUAUGUGACCCCAUAGACGGCAGCCCACCAGGCUCCCUCGUCCUUAGGAUUCUCCAGGCAAGAACAGUGGAGCGGGUUGCCAUUUCCUUCUCCAGUGUAUGAAAGUGAAAAGUGAAAGUGAAGUCGCUCAGUCGUGUCCAACCGUGAGCAACCGCAUGGACUGCAGCCCACCAGGCUCCUCUGUCCAUGGGAUUUUCCAGGCAAGAGUACUGGAGUGGGGUUCUAUUGCCUUCUCUGAUGUUUAUUCUAGUGGAAGCUAAUAGCUGAAUGUACUUCUUUGGGGGCUCUUUCCUGGAAAACAAAUCUGAAGGUGUCGUCAGACACAGUGUAUCAGAAAAUAACAGGUCUCUUAACCUGUGCUAAAAAGAUAAUUUUGCAUGCAUUAAAUAUUCAACAAAGGGUGUGAACUGUGCUUACUUUGGCAAACAAAUAGAUCCCAAAAUGAAUCAAACAAAUUGUAAUGUGGAACAAAUUGAAACACUUGAGGAUUUGUCUUAGAUGUUUAAAACUCAUAUUUUAUCCUCCAUGUGUUCAUAAUACCCUCAGAAAGCAAAGAAUCUUUUGGAAAUGGCAGUGAAAGGGCAGUAUUAUCUCAAACUGCAGUUGUGGUUCUGGACCAGGUCCAUGGGCUAUCUUUCCUUUUACUCCUGGCCCUGUAGCAGCCAGAAGAGAGUACUUAAGGUGUUUAUUUCACGAGGGAAGAUUUUUACAAAGAGCAGUUUUUAAUGAAGCACGGCACAUGGCAUCAUUAUCAUUUCUAACACAGAGAACUCAUUUUCAAUUUUGCUAUCAAAGAAAAAUGACAAAUAGAGAAUGUAAGAAAAACCAGAUGGACUAACUGUAUUAGGAGCUUAGUAUGCAUAUUUUGUGUCACAUAUUAGCAUUCAUUAAGUCGAAAGGGAAAAAAAUGAGUUUUGCCUACAUGCAUUAAACCAAUAAGGCUGGCAAAGUUCCAAGCUAGCUCUUGUGGAUUAAUUGUUUUAUAACUGUUUUAAUUAAAAUUGUUCAGUAUAUGAUUAACCUAAAAGUUUUAAUUUCCACAAAACUGUUGAACAAAUGAGACAUUAAUAUUUUACAUUAACCAUGGUGAUAUUGCUGCGGUUUCCAGAGCAACUGCUUGUUCGAGUAAACCAGGAAAAGGGGUAAGGUGGAAAGUGCUGUGUCUCGUGCUACAACCAAGAAAACCUGCAAACAGAAUAACUUAGUGAAAGGACCAGUAUGACAAGGUUGUUUAUUACACUGAAAAUUCUUUAGACGGGCAUGUAUGAAGUCAGCCUCCCCACUCCCUGACUAUCAGUUUAGAGCUGAGGUUCGGUAGUAAAUUAUCACGUUGAAGUUAACAGUGUAACAUGGCAAGAAUGAGUUUACUUUAUCUUUUGCUUCCAUUCGGCAUCAUAAUAGUGUUGGUGUACCACAUGAGAUGGUUGGUUUUGAAGGGUUUGGCCAGUAGGGCCUGUGAAUUUAUUGACAUUAAGUUCUGUGGUUUUAGUUUAGGUGAUAGGUACAAGUGUUGGUUUUGGAAUCAAAGGGAUGAUAGGGAAGGUUUAAAUGACUCAUCUCUUUUAUUUUCUUGUGUUGUUAAGGUUGGCACCAGAGUGACUUUGGAAAAACACAUCCCAUUUUGCAAAUGGUAAAAUUGAGACCCUGUAAAAUGUCAUUAUAUGUAUCUGUGGCUCCUUCAGUAUACAGAUCUGUAUUUCUCUUACUUGUUCUCCUCCUCACUUAUGCUCCCAUUUUAUUGUGUUUCAGUUCAUUAAAAGAUGGCUUUCUUCUCUUCUCCUCUAAGCCUUUUUUACUCUGACUUCACUUUGUAGGUUAAGGUUAUGGUACUAUAUAAGUUCAAGAAGCUGGUGGUAUUUGAACUCUGUAGAAGCAUAUUUUAAAAGAUAAGAUGGAUACUGCUUAGUGGAAAUGGUGAUGACAAAACUCAAGUUGUUCUGACUGUGCAGAAAGUGAUAAAUUCUUUAGGGUCCUAGGCUGAGUUCAGUUGUUAAUUUCUGUGACAGCUGAUACAGGAUUGUCUUUGCAGCAUUAGCUCUGCAGCGUCUGGGGUGCAGCAUCCGAACAACAGAAAUAUAUCUGCCAUGAACGUACUUAGUCAGGGUCAUGUGGCAUUUGAUCUGUCCAGAGUUCAGCCCUGAUUUGAUCUCUGCGUUACCUUGUCCCAUCAUUUCUUCCUAGUACCAUAAAGUUCUCGGCGCUAGCCUUCCUUUCUGUCCCAUAUAAUCAUUCUCCCUCCCAAAUUCCUUCUGUUUAGCUUCUUAAGCA